ensembl:ncRNA C08F8.14 ncRNA
AAGAAUUGAGGAAGUGUCAUCAGUUGGUAGGUAUCACAAUCAGAUUCUUUCAAAAGAAUUGAAUUAGAAUGAACAUGACAAGAAACGCGAAAAAAAAUAAGAAUGUGAUUACACACAUACAGAAAGAAAAUGAAGAAACUGAGAAGG